CAGCAGCAAAAACAACUCUAAUCUCUUUUCUGUUGGAUCUCAGUUUUUCUUAAAAUGCCUUCACUUUUUCCGGUUCCGAAGAUUUUUCGAUCAAAGAGGGAAGCUCCAUAUCAAAAUCUGGGCGAGGUUUCUGAAAGCUUUGAAAGAAAAGGUCUAAAAUGUAAUCUGACUGUAGCUAUUGAUUCCACUACAGGGCACACGGAUCACGUGACUGAAGUUCAAGAAGUGAUAGCUAUUUUAGGAGAAGUCCUAACUUCUGAAAAUGUCUUUAAGUUCGUAAAGGCCUAUCUAUUUGGAGAUGCAACGUCGGAUGAUCGUUUCGUCUUCGGCAUCUAUUCAGAUGAUAGAGCAUGUGAUGGAUAGAAAGAACUACUUGCGCGCUACUCUGCUGUAGUGAGGCAUAUAAUACCGUCAGGUUGUUUUUCUACUUCACCUAGCAACCAAUAUUCCAUCACUUUCUGUCGGCUAAUGCUUUUCGGUAUGGUAGCUUCAACAUCAUUUGGUCCAGCCAUAAGAAGGGCAACAAAAAUUGCGAGUGAAAAUCCUAACCAGCAGCAUGUUUUGCUGAUACUUUCUCAUCAGCCGGAUAAAGUUUAUUUUCAGUCAUGUUUAUGCCUAAAGAUAUUGUAGUUUAGAAGCUGAAAUUCCACCACUUUAAAGUAGUAACUUACGAAAAGUGGGGGGCUUUAAAGAAGAUAGAGGGCUACAGCACACGAGUUAUUCAUUGCUAAAAUUUACAAACAACACGCUUUUUACAAAUGGGACAAAAGAGCCUAGCUUUUGGUUAAUGGCUAACAGGCUGGGCAGCAGUUCAAAUUUAAGAGCCAAUACUAUCUAAAGUCUUAGGAUGGCAGAUUUAAUGUCCCAGUAUUGCCUCCAGGUCUUAGAAGGAUUUGAUACAGGAAUAGCCAAUAGGAGAAGUUGGCUGGUUGUAUAAAGAACUAACAGUAAAUUCAGCAGAGGUGAGUAGGAGUCGAUUUACUGAGCAUGGUAAACUAAGCCCUCAGGAGCAAGACACCAUAGAUGCGAUUGCUGAUGCACAAAAUUAUCCAUUAUCCAUAAUUAUAGCUGGAGUCGGGAAGAAUAGUGGGGAUGUGAUGGGUGGAUUGACUAACUAUCGCACCUUCAGUAAUACCCAGUUUGUAGAUUUCACAUCAAUGUCAAGCGUGCCCACACCCAGAAGAGAGAUUGAGUUUGCUCUUGCAGCCACUAAAACGCUGCGUUCCCAGCGAAAAGUCAUUCCGAAUGGAAAAAUUCCAGAAGAUGUUCCUAUCAUGCAAGCUCUAUCAACUGCCCAAGACCACCUCCAAUAACCCGAUCAGCCUCUGUUAAUCAAGUACUUCAAAGCCACUUUUGAUUCUUUGAACAUUUUGAUGUGUAAAGCCGGGGUCAAAGGUGGACGUACAUAAUACAGCUCUAACUCCUUGUUCCCACCUAAUUUAUUUCUCAAAUGCUUCCCUGUACUUCUCUUUUUGGGAUAUGUCUAUUUUGUAGCACUUGGUGUUGUUCUAGGAUUUUGAGAGAUCAUGUCCGGAAUAGUAAACUAGAUGUGGCGUAGGAACUGAAUCGUACUAUAUAAAUGUGCUUGUAUUGGUAGUGCAAUCCAUCUGGAAUCUGGAACAUGCUCUUUUUUAACCCACUAACCCCGAACACUGCAUGUACCCACGUUUAAGAAAACACAUUUAUUUGUUCACCGGCUUGCUGCAUUAGACGGA